rnacentral:lncRNA from 1 species
GAUCAAUGAUUUUUUGCCCAUAGCCAAACACAAAUGAUUUCCAACACUUUUAUGCAAAUAAGGCUAUCAAUUGUUGAUGAACAUGGUGGAAAAUGAAUUUAUUAAUGUAGUUUGAGUCAUGUAUAUAUGUAGCUUUGCCUCCUCUGUGAGGCUUGCUCCGUGUUACCUUCGACCUAUUACUGAUAAAAUUGUGUUGAUUUAGGCAAACCCCCUUCCAGAUAAUCCAUGUUGUUGGGAACUUAAUGAGAAUAUGGUCUGUUUACUCUAUGUACUGCAAAUCGUUUUCUACUCAAGGUGGUGCUCUCUCCAAAUUUAAGUUCUAUUCUUCUUCUUUUUCGAUUUUGAGGAUGUACAACAACUUGAUCCCCUGUAACCUACAAUGUGGAUCGCUGCGACAUCUUUUAUUCUUUUGACGCAUUGGUUCUUCUUGCGGCUGAUACACAGCUUUAUGGUGUAUGAAUUGUAUAGAAAUUGAUGUAUCAACAGUUUUAUGGUAUCUAAAUUGUAUAGAAACUGAUGUAUCAAUUUUUAUGACGUCUGAAAUAGUUAGAAAUUGGUGUAUCAACAAAUUUAUGGUGUCUGAACUAUAUAGAGAUUGACGUAUUA